rnacentral:rRNA from 1 species
UGGGGAAUAUUGGACAAUGGGCGAAAGCCUGAUCCAGCCAUGCCGCGUGUGUGAAGAGGGUCUUCGGAUUGUAAAGCACUUUAAGUUGGGAGGAAGGGCAGUAAGCGAAUACCUUGCUGUUUUGACGUUACCGACAGAAUAAGCACCGGCUAACUCUGUGCCAGCAGCCGCGGUAAUACAGAGGGUGCAAGCGUUAAUCGGAAUUACUGGGCGUAAAGCGCGCGUAGGUGGUUCGUUAAGUUGAAUGUGAAAGCCCCGGGCUCAACCUGGGAACUGCAUCCAAAACUGGCGAGCUAGAGUAGGGCAGAGGGUGGUGGAAUUUCCUGUGUAACGGUGAAAUGCGUAGAUAUAGGAAGGAACACCAGUGGCGAAGGCGACCACCUGGGCUCAUACUGACACUGAGGUGCGAAAGCGUGGGGAGCAAACAGG